rnacentral:rRNA from 1 species
ACUACGGGAGACAGCAGUGGGGAAUAUUGGGCAAUGGGCGCAAGCCUGACCCAGCAACGCCGCGUGAAGGAAGAAGGCUUUCGGGUUGUAAACUUCUUUUCUCAGGGACGAAGAAAGUGACGGUACCUGAGGAAUAAGCCACGGCUAACUACGUGCCAGCAGCCGCGGUAAUACGUAGGUGGCAAGCGUUAUCCGGAUUUAUUGGGUGUAAAGGGCGUGUAGGCGGGAGCGCAAGUCAGAUGUGAAAACUCAGGGCUCAACCCUGAGCCUGCAUUUGAAACUGUGUUUCUUGAGUGCUGGAGAGGCAAUCGGAAUUCCGUGUGUAGCGGUGAAAUGCGUAGAUAUACGGAGGAACACCAGUGGCGAAGGCGGAUUGCUGGACAGUAACUGACGCUGAGGCGCGAAAGCGUGGGGAGCAAACAGGAUUAGAUACCCCAGUAGUC